rnacentral:rRNA from 1 species
CCUACGGGGGGCUGCAGUAAGGAAUAUUGGUCAAUGGACGCAAGUCUGAACCAGCCAUGCCGCGUGGAGGAUGAAGGUCCUCUGGAUUGUAAACUUCUUUUAUUUGGGAAGAAACUCCCGAUUUCCAUCGGGAUUGACGGUACCAGAUGAAUAAGCACCGGCUAACUCCGUGCCAGCAGCCGCGGUAAUACGGAGGGUGCAGGCGUCACUGGGAUUAACGGGGGCUAAGGGGGGCAUAGGUGGCAGGGUAGAAAUCUCCGGGCUUAACCCGGAAACUGCCAUUGAUACUGUAUGUCUUGAAUACUCUGGAGGUGAGCGGAAUAUGUCAUGUAGCGGUGAAAUGCUUAGAUAUGACAUAGAACACCCAUUGCGAAGGCAGCUCACUACGGAAAUAUUGACGCUGAGGCACGAAAGCGUGGGGAGCAAACAGGAUUAGAUACCCUGGUAGUC